rnacentral:tRNA from 1 species
GAGUGUAUAGCUCAGUGGUAGAGCGCAUGCCUAGCAUGCACAAGGUUCUGGGUUCCAUCUCCAGUACCUCCA